rnacentral:rRNA from 1 species
AGAGUUUGAUCCUGGCUCAGGAUGAACGCUAGCUACAGGCUUAACACAUGCAAGUCGAGGGGCAGCACAGUGUAGCAAUACACGGGUGGCGACCGGCGCACGGGUGCGUAACGCGUAUCCAACCUUCCCGUUACUCUUGGAUAGCCUUCCGAAAGGGAGAUUAAUACAAGAUGGUAUUCAAAUUCCGCAUGUUAUUUGAAUUAAAGAUUUAUCGGUAACGGAUGGGGAUGCGUGACAUUAGAUAGUAGGCGGGGUAACGGCCCACCUAGUCUACGAUGUCUAGGGGUUCUGAGAGGAAGGUCCCCCACACUGGAACUGAGACACGGUCCAGACUCCUACGGGAGGCAGCAGUGAGGAAUAUUGGUCAAUGGUCGGAAGACUGAACCAGCCAAGUAGCGUGAAGGAUGAAGGUUCUAUGGAUUGUAAACUUCUUUUAUACGGGAAUAAAACCUCCCACGUGUGGGAGCUUGUAUGUACCGUAUGAAUAAGCAUCGGCUAACUCCGUGCCAGCAGCCGCGGUAAUACGGAGGAUCCGAGCGUUAUCCGGAUUUAUUGGGUUUAAAGGGAGCGUAGGCGGAUUAUUAAGUCAGUUGUGAAAGUUUGCGGCUCAACCGUAAAAUUGCAGUUGAUACUGGUAGUCUUGAGUGCAGCAGAGGUAGGCGGAAUUCGUGGUGUAGCGGUGAAAUGCUUAGAUAUCACGAAGAACUCCGAUUGCGAAGGCAGCUUACUGGACUGUAACUGACGCUGAUGCUCGAAAGUGUGGGUAUCAAACAGGAUUAGAUACCCUGGUAGUCCACACAGUAAACGAUGAAUACUCGCUGUUUGCGAUAUACAGCAAGCGGCCAAGCGAAAGCAUUAAGUAUUCCACCUGGGGAGUACGCCGGCAACGGUGAAACUCAAAGGAAUUGACGGGGGCCCGCACAAGCGGAGGAACAUGUGGUUUAAUUCGAUGAUACGCGAGGAACCUUACCCGGGCUUGACAUCCCUCUGCAAGCUCUAGAGAUAGAGACCUCCCUUCGGGGACAGAGGUGACAGGUGGUGCAUGGUUGUCGUCAGCUCGUGUCGUGAGAUGUUGGGUUAAGUCCCGCAACGAGCGCAACCCUUAUCUUUAGUAGCCAGCGGUCCGGCCGGGCACUCUAGAGAGACUGCCAGGGAUAACCUGGAGGAAGGUGGGGAUGACGUCAAAUCAUCAUGCCCCUUAUGAUCAGGGCUACACACGUGCUACAAUGGCGUAAACAAAGGGAAGCAGAGCCGCGAGGCCGAGCAAAUCUCAAAAAUAACGUCUCAGUUCGGAUUGUAGUCUGCAACUCGACUACAUGAAGCUGGAAUCGCUAGUAAUCGCGAAUCAGAAUGUCGCGGUGAAUACGUUCCCGGGUCUUGUACACACCGCCCGU